rnacentral:snoRNA from 1 species
AUCCCUUUGUUAGUUCAUAAGCGUGAUCAUUGGGGGUUUCACUCUCAUGUGUGAGACAUGCUUCCCUCAAACCUUGUUACGAAGCUGGCACAGUAUCCAUCUGAUG